rnacentral:rRNA from 1 species
UGGGGAAUUUUGCACAAUGGGCGCAAGCCUGAUGCAGCGACGCCGCGUGAGGGAUGAAGGCCUUCGGGUUGUAAACCUUUUUCGCUCAUGGUCAAGCCGCAGCUUUGGGUUGUGGUGAGGGUAGUGGGUAAAGAAGCGCCGGCUAACUACGUGCCAGCAGCCGCGGUAAUACGUAGGGCGCGAGCGUUGUCCGGAAUUAUUGGGCGUAAAGGGCUUGUAGGCGGUUGGCCGCGUCUGCCGUGAAAUCCUCUGGCUUAACUGGGGGCGUGCGGUGGGUACGGGUUGACUUGAGUGCGGUAGGGGAGACUGGAAUUCCUGGUGUAGCGGUGGAAUGCGCAGAUAUCAGGAGGAACACCGGUGGCGUAGGCGGGUCUCUGGGCCGUUACUGACGCUGAGGAGCGAAAGCGUGGGGAGCGAACAGG